rnacentral:rRNA from 1 species
UACGUAGGUGGCAAGCGUUGUCCGGAUUUACUGGGCGUAAAGAGCGCGCAGGCGGUCGUUCAAGUCGCGUGUGAAAGCCCCCCGGCUCAACUGGGGAGGGUCACGCGAUACUGAUCGACUCGAAGGCAGGAGAGGGUAGUGGAAUUCCCGGUGUAGUGGUGAAAUGCGUAGAGAUCAGGAAGAACACCGGUGGCGAAGGCGCUCUGCUAGGCCGUAACUGACACUGAGGGACGAAAGCUAGGGGAGCGAAUGGG